GGCCUCAGAAGCUCUGCUAUCCACAGGCAGAGACAGGGUUUCACCAUGUUGGCCAGGCUAGUCUCAAACUCCUGACCUCGUGAUCUGCCCGCUUUGGCCUCCCAAAGUCCUGGGACUACAGGCAUGAGCCACCGUACCCAGCCACUCUUGGUUAACUUAAUGGAAAUAUUUACAGAGAAUCUUUCUCUUCUGGGUUCUAGCAUCUUAUCUGUAACCUCUGCAGGUAGAAGUUGCUGGCCCCAUCUUGCUCACAAUCCUCCAAAGUUUGAAAGUUAUUUUCCAGGAGACUUGGCUUGCACUGAGAGUUGUCCUCCCACCCUCUCUCCAAAUUUCCUCUUGGGGGUAGCCUAACAAGGUACUGUCACAGACCCUUGCCAGCCACGAUGACCCCACCCAGACCAUCCCUCUGCUGUUUCACUCUUUG
rnacentral:lncRNA from 1 species